GACGAACGCUGGCGGCGUGCUUAACACAUGCAAGUCGAACGGUAAGGCUCCAGCUUGCUGGGGUACACGAGUGGCGAACGGGUGAGUAACACGUGGGUGACCUGCCCUGCACUUCGGGAUAAGCCUGGGAAACUGGGUCUAAUACCGGAUAGGACCGCACCGUGAGGGUGUGGUGGAAGGUUUUUCGGUGUGGGAUGGGCCCGCGGCCUAUCAGCUUGUUGGUGGGGUAAUGGCCUACCAAGGCGGCGACGGGUAGCCGGCCUGAGAGGGUGGACGGCCACAUUGGGACUGAGACACGGCCCAGACUCCUACGGGAGGCAGCAGUGGGGAAUAUUGCACAAUGGGCGGAAGCCUGAUGCAGCGACGCCGCGUGGGGGAUGACGGCCUUCGGGUUGUAAACUCCUUUCACCAUCGACGAAGGGUUUCUGACGGUAGAUGGAGAAGAAGCACCGGCUAACUACGUG
rnacentral:rRNA from 1 species